rnacentral:lncRNA from 1 species
UCUUCGGGGAGUGCUAGUGCAUGUAUGUCGUCCAGGUUAUCUCAAGUCUUACCGUUUAAUUUUCCAAACUUUCUGUUCCCGCCACAGCGUGGACAGAAGAGGUUUCUGUAACUUCAAAAAAGGCGGAGUGAUAGUCAACGGUCCAACAGAUUUAAAGCUCCAGAGGAACAGGCCUCUCCGUACACACCCGUUCCAGGAGAAAAGCAUUGAAGGGGGCAAACCAUGUUUCUCCUUCCAAAAGUUUCUGCUUCUGCUGGAUUUCAUUUCUCUCUCCUGCUGAGAAGCAGCGGCUCACGGUGAUGCUUCCAGAAUAUUCUCAAGAGCUCAGCGCAGUAUGAUGGUUGCUCAAGGGUGUGCCCUACUAGCAAGAUAGAGAAAUGCAUUUCUGGCAAAUGGUGCGUUGCUGUUGUUGAUGGCUUCCAAGGUCCAAAAAAUGGGAAAAUUAAUCACCAACACCUACAUUGAAAAGCUUGUAAUCACAGGAUCAGACAUAUUUAAGAAGAAUGGCAGAAGCCGAGGCCUGGUGUCCACCUUGAAUUUCUGGAGCUCUUGGUUGCUGCUGGCUCCUUUGCAUUUCUCACCAGCAGCCUGACAAUAGGGAAUGGUUGCCAUUCUGAGGCUGAUUAGAAACUGGGACCUGAAAAGAGGUUUGUAAGGCCCUUUUCUGCUUUAAAGAAAUAUAUUCCUCAUUUUAAUAAGAGGGCAAAAGUAUAUGCUUCCUGUAUUAUUUGGCCCUUCAGGGAUUUCACUGGUAAUUUUACAUCCAUUUAAAGAGAUCUAGGUUGUCUCUGCUUUGCUCUAACACCCCUAAGUCUUAGUUUUUGAUUUAAAAAAAUAUGAUCCUGUAGAUAAAAGAACAGGCAUGCUCAUUUUCUGACUCCACCAAUUCAAAAUGUCUAAUUUUUUCACUGAACUUGUCAUUCGAAAGUGGUACUUAAAAAUCAUAGUUUCAAUACUACUGUCAAAAAAUCUGGGGCAUAAGCUGCAUUGUUUCAUGAUAAGGUCAUAUUCUGCAUUAUCAGAUUUAAAUUUUAACAUUCGAGGAUAAGACAAAAAAGAACACUGCUCUCAUUUACAUUUCAUGCUUGACCACCCAAGCUCUCUUCAUUUUCCUAUUAAUGAUUUAAAGGAAAAUCCUAUUCAAAGCCAACUAUUCGAAUUAACAUAUUUUGGCCUUGUUAACUACAAAAUGCUUCCAUAUUUACUUCAUAGCUUUAGAGGCAGAAUAUACCCAUAGGUGAUGUGAAUUUGCAUCAUGCUUUGAGAACAUUAAUAAACAAC